rnacentral:ncRNA from 2 species
CGUUUUAGACACGGGAGUCCCGGGACCGGGGUCUGAGAGUGGGCGCGCCCGCCCUUACCGUCACACCUGAUCCGGAUCAUGCCGGCGAAGGGAGGCCGCGAAUGCCCUCG